rnacentral:rRNA from 1 species
GACGAACGCUGGCGGCGUGCUUAACACAUGCAAGUCGAACGGAAAGGCCCUGCUUUUGUGGGGUGCUCGAGUGGCGAACGGGUGAGUAACACGUGAGUAACCUGCCCUUGACUUUGGGAUAACUUCAGGAAACUGGGGCUAAUACCGGAUAGGAGCUCCUGCUGCAUGGUGGGGGUUGGAAAGUUUCGGCGGUUGGGGAUGGACUCGCGGCUUAUCAGCUUGUUGGUGGGGUAGUGGCUUACCAAGGCUUUGACGGGUAGCCGGCCUGAGAGGGUGACCGGCCACAUUGUGACUUAGAUACGGCCCAGACUCCUACGGGAGGCAGCAGUGGGGAAUAUUGCACAAUGGGCGGAAGCCUAAUGCAGCAACGCCGCGUGCGGGAUGACGGCCUUCGGGUUGUAAACCGCUUUCGCCUGUGACGAAGCGUGAGUGACGGUAAUGGGUAAAGAAGCACCGGCUAACUACGUG